AUUGAACGCUGGCGGCAGGCCUAACACAUGCAAGUCGAGCGAGCGGCGGACGGGUGAGUAAUGUAUGGGGACUGCCCGAUAGAGGGGUAUGACUACUGGAAACGGUGGCUAAUACCGCAUACUAUCGGAUAACCCAUAUGGGAUUAGCUAGUAGGUGGGGUAAAGGCUCACCUCGGCGACGAUCUCUAGCUGGUCUGAGAGGAUGAUCAGCCACACUGGGACUGAGACACGGCCCAGACUCCUACGGAGGCAGCAGUGGGGAAUAUUGCACAAUGGGCGAAAGCCUGAUGCAGCCAUGCCGCGUGUACGAAGAAGGCCUUCGGGUUGUAAAGUACUUUCGGUAGCGAGGCGGUACCUGCAGAAGAAGCACCGGCUAACUCCGUGCCAGCAGCCGCGGUAAUAC
rnacentral:rRNA from 1 species